UACGUAGGGUGCGAGCGUUGUCCGGAAUUAUUGGGCGUAAAGGGCUCGUAGGCGGUCUGUUGCGUCAGGAGUGAAAACUCGGGGCUUAACCCCGAGCCUGCUUCUGAUACGGGCAGACUAGAGGUAUGCAGGGGAGAACGGAAUUCCUGGUGGAGCGGUGGAAUGCGCAGAUAUCAGGAGGAACACCAGUGGCGAAGGCGGUUCUCUGGACAUUAACUGACGCUGAGGAGCGAAAGCGUGGGGAGCAAACAGGCUUAGAUACCCUGGUAGUCCACGCCGUAAACGGUGGGCACUAGGUGUGGGGGACUUCCACGUUCUCCGUGCCGAAGCUAACGCAUUAAGUGCCCCGCCUGGGGAGUACGGCCGCAAGGCUAAA
rnacentral:rRNA from 1 species